GAUGAACGCUAGCGGAAGGCUUAAUACAUGCAAGUCGAGCGGUAGGUGGCUUCGGCCAUUGAGAGCGGCGCACGGGUGAGUAACGCGUACAUGACCUGCCUGUCAGAAGGGGAUAGCCCUGGGAAACUGGGAUUAAUACCCUAUGGUAUUGAUAUUAUGAAUGAUAUCAAUUAAAGUUGAGGCGCUGACAGAUGGAUGUGCGUCUGAUUAGCUAGUUGGUAGGGUAACGGCCUACCAAGGCGACGAUCAGUAGGGGGCGUGAGAGCGUGGUCCCCCACACGGGUACUGAGACACGGACCCGACUCCUACGGGAGGCAGCAGUAAGGAAUAUUGGUCAAUGCCCGCAAGGGUGAACCAGCCAUUCCGCGUGGAGGAUGAAGGCCCUAUGGGUUGUAAACUUCUUUUAGAUGGGAAGAAAAUGCUAGAUGUAUCUGGUACUGACGGUACCAUCAGAAUAAGCACCGGCUAACUCCGUGCCAGCAGCCGCG
rnacentral:rRNA from 1 species